rnacentral:rRNA from 1 species
AUUGAACGCUGGCGGCAUGCCUUACACAUGCAAGUCGAACGGUAACAGGUCUUCGGAUGCUGACGAGUGGCGAACGGGUGAGUAAUACAUCGGAACGUGCCUAGUAGUGGGGGAUAACUACUCGAAAGAGUGGCUAAUACCGCAUGAGAUCUACGGAUGAAAGCAGGGGAUCGCAAGACCUUGUGCUACUAGAGCGGCCGAUGGCAGAUUAGGUAGUUGGUGGGAUAAAAGCUUACCAAGCCGACGAACUGUAGCUGGUCUGAGAGGACGAUCAGACACACUGGGACUGAGACACGGCCCAGACGCCUACGGGAGGCAGCAGUGGGGAAUUUUGGACAAUGGGCGCAAGCCUGAUCCAGCAAUGCCGCGUGCAGGAUGAAGGCCUUCGGGUUGUAAACUGCUUUUGUACGGAACGAAAAGCCCCGGGUUAAUACCCUGGGGUCAUGACGGUACCGUAAGAAUAAGCACCGGCUAACUACGUGCCAGCCGCCGCCGUAA